CCUACGGGUGGCAGCAGUGGGGAAUAUUGCACAAUGGCGGAAACCCUGAUGCAGCGACGCCGCGUGAGUGAAGAAGUAAUUCGUUAUGUUAAGCUCUAUCUGCAGGGAAGUAAAUGACGGUACCUGAGUAAGAAGCCCUGGCUAACUACGUGACAGCAGCCGCGGUACGACGGAGGGGGCAAGCGUUAUCCGGAUUUACUGGGUGUAAAGGGAGCGUAGACGGUUGUGCAAGUCUGGAGUGAAAGGUGGGGGCUCAACCCCCGGACUGCUCUGGAAACUGUACGGCUGGAGUGCAGGAGAGGUAAGUGGAAUUCCUGGUGUAGCGGUGAAAUGCGUAGAUAUUAGGAGGAACACCAGUGGCGAAGGCAGCUUACUAGACUGUAACUGACGUUGAGGCUCGAAAGCGUGGGGAGCAAACAGGAUUAGAUACCCUUGUAGUC
rnacentral:rRNA from 1 species